GGCUGGGCCAAGAGGCCUCUGCGGGUGCGCGCGCGAGUCGGCUGUCCUCACUUGCCUGGUGGUGGGCCUCCGUUUCCCCGUUUCCCCGUUUUGCAUAUGGGGAUGACGGCGAAGGUGGAGGUCACGUGGAGGGCGGCGGCCCGGCGCUGAGGCGCUUCGGGAGCGGGCUCCGCCCAGCCCAGGCCGAGCCCGGACCUCACACGGGCCAAAGCUGGAGCUUCUGCGGGGCUGCGCAGGCGGCGGGUCUCGGCCAGGGCAGGGCCGGGCACCUGCGCGUCUCGCGCUGCGGGGACGGGCGUUGGGCCCCAAGUCAGGCUGCACGGGCUCCGCGUGGGGCCGUGCUCGGCCGGGGGCUGGCAGGCCCCGCGGGGACUCCGGACUCCCACCCCUCGCUCUCCCGGUGACCUGCUGGAGAAGACACCUGGGAGGAACCUGCGGACAAUGGGUGUGUGUCCUUGGGCCGCCAGGGUCACCUUUCAGCCUGUUUCCCCAGAGGUGAACCAAGAGUCACACCCAAGGCAGGAGAGCAAGAGUGAUGAGUCCGCUGCACCUUCUCCGGCAAGCGGAGGUUCUCCCGCCGCCCUCACUCUGUGAUGCUUGCUGUGCUUGCGAGGCCUACGCCAAAGCCCUGCGGGCAGCCCUGGGCUCCCGCGGACAGCCUUGCUGAGCUCCUGGGAAGGAGGCGUGCCCUCCCCUUCCCCCACCGCCCCGCUGGCUGGGGUUCUCUGCAGCCCAGGACUGUGCAUGUGUGCGCACACGGGUUCUGUGAACACGAACACAAAAGUGUGCUCGUGGACACUGCGUGGUACUGUGUGCACACAGCGCACGUCUGUGAGCUGAGGGAGUGUUCCUGGACACCAGGUGCAAGUGCACAAGUGUGUGUAUGCUGGCACAAGUGUGUGCCCAGGCGCAAACAUGGGAACGGUAGUAUAUGGCACAAAUGUGUGCACACAUGGGUGGGAGGGAAGAGGGGCACAUGCCCACCAGCAUUCCUGGGCUGGUGCUCAGGCCGGCCUGUCCUGGGCCCACCCACGCUCCUUGCCUUGGUGUAUUUCAGUCUCCCCUGGGCUCCCAGGAGGCAGUAGUGUGUGCCUGUCUUGCAGCCUCGCCAUGAUUUGGACAGGGCUUCACUCUUCGGCUAGGACAGCUAGAGUGCAGGGAAGCCGGCUCCUAACCAGGGAGGAUGCCCAUGACUGCUGACCCCCCAGCUUCCACUUGAAGGGGAAGGUUCGCCAGGACCAAUGCCUGUCUGAGAGCUGUCAGUCUGGACUGAGGAUGCCGGGUGCCUGGCACGGUGCCCACCUCCCCUUCCGUGGCUGGCGCUGUCUGUCUGGCCGCCACCUCACUCAGCCUCCUCUGACAGCUCCGUGUUCAGGUGUGCAAAGGAGGGGAAAGUGAAGCCCUUUCCUCCCAGGGCAGACCACCUCCAGGAGCCGCUUUCUUGACCAUACAAGGCGUAUAUGGGGCUGUUUCUGUGCCUGGACACUGCAGGGGGAAUGGUCUAGCGUGGGUAGGAACCACCAGAGGAGGGGCUCCGUACCUGUUGGCUCCUCCGAAAUCUGGGAUGAGCCCGCCUGAGUGCCCCACAGCAAGUCAGGGAAGGUAAACCUCUCCGUGGAAGAGCCAGGAGCCCACUCCCUCAGGCUGAGCCGAUGGGGAGGGGGAGGAGGAUGCUAAGGGGUCCUCAGGAAGGGAUGAGGGAAAUAGCCAAUAGCUGCCUGGGCCUAGGGCCGGGGCUCCCCUCCCUUCCCUCAUCUCUGCCCCUCCCUGGAAGAGGUCAUCACAUGACCUCGGGCAGCUCUGGGCUCCCUCCUUCCUCCAGAGAAGCAGGACUCCCUGGGAAGAACUCUGGUCCCACCCCUUGGCCAACCAGUGAGACCAACAGGGUGAAUAAGUGGGAUUGGCCCCAGGACGCUGAGUUCUGUUACCUAAGGGGGUGGGGGUUGCCUGGUCCUCAGCUGGCACCCCCCAAAUUGGAUCUACCAUUCCAGGUCCCAGAGGGAAUGUGGGCAACAAGGUUAGGGGGUGGUUCCAAGGCCUUCGGAAGGAACGUUGAGGCAGCACCCACUAAAGCCAACCUCAGAAAUGCUCCCUCUCUGAAUAGUAGCAUGGACUUCUCAGGGUUUAAGCUGAAUUUCCAGGUCAGUGUCAACCUAUGGCUUUGUCGUGAGUUUCCCCACCCUCCCACCCUUCCUCUCUACCCUCUGCUGCCUGGCUUCAAUGUCACCUGCUCAGGAGACCAUCCCUUGCUCCCCUGCAGCCCCUGCCUGGACAGGAGAAGGCCUGUGCACCUCCUGCUCUGCUCCCAGCACAGCUUCUGCUCCAGCAAAGCCCACGGGCACUCAGUCCUUGAUUCCUGCACCCACCAACCCCGCCGAGCCGCCCUCACUAUUACCCAGGCCUCCUUUGUCCCUUAGCAACAGAACCCCAGUUUUGUUCAAGGCAUCAAUGUAGCCAGCCUCACCAGCAGCUGGGCCAGCUGUGACACUGUUUGCCCAGGGGAUGACUGCAGGAGGCACAAUCGAGCCUCCUGGUCCUUUGGAAGGGGCAGCUGUGGCCACCCACCUCACUGACAGUCUUCCUUUCUCCUGGCUCCAGCCUGAAGUGUGGGCACGGCAUCCCGAGGACAGCAGCCAUGUGGCCAGCAAGGGGCAGGGUCCCAAGCUGAGGAUGUGAGCAGCUGCCUUGGUGCCCCAAUGGCACCGUCAGACUCAUCACCAUGGGGAGAACAAGCCCCUGCUCCCUUUAUGGGUCUGCCUCAUUGGAUUUCGUCAGGUUUUCUGUAACUGAAGCCAGUGCCACUUCCAUUGUAGCUGAUUUGGGCUCCUAAGCUCACGGGAGUGGGACAUCGUUCUAUUAGCUGCGUCCUGCCCCUCAACAACGAUGGCUCCUUGCGGGCAGGCCCCAAGGGCGCGUCAUGGCCCCACACACCUGGAACACACAGUGCCCCACACCUGGAACAGCCUGGAGGAGCUUGUGAGGCAUGAGGGCGCGGGAGCCACACUCUCAGGUGCCUGUUUUCCACAUGUCCCCAUGCAGCCCGGGCUUCCAACCACAUCUUAAAAAAUAAAAAGACGAGGAGGAGAAGAAACUUUGGUCCUAACACCAGACUAAGCCCUGUCUUGCUGUGUGAUGCUCAGCCUGAGGCACACCUUCUCUAGGCUUGUUCACCAAAGCCGCAAUGCAGGGGCAGAGCGGUCAUGAGGCCUGCCCAAGAGUGAGGUUGGUAAAGGGCUGGGCAGAACCAAGGGCAUGGGGUGUGUGGGAGGGUGGCGGUCCAUUCCCUUGUCACCCACGCAGAGGCAGUGUCAUGAGGGGACACGUGGGAGUCUCUGGGAAGGGCCUGACACAGCCCCAGCACAGGACAGUGGUCUGACCAUUCAAGACUCAGUCUGCGUCAUCAGAGACCAGGCUCUUAGAAACCAACUCCAUCCUGAUGUGCAUAACAGCCUCCCAAGGUGUUUAACAUGGAGCAGGAGUGACAAAAAGAAAAAUGAAGUAAAAGAAUAGAAAAUCCAUCAACAAGCAUGUGGAGUGCUGUUCUUGCUGAUGCAUCGUCCAGGAAAGGACACUUGCCACCCUUCCUGGGAAUGCUUCCCACUCCCCGACCCCCUCCUGGCAUCCAUGAGCCUCAGAUCAGCAGGUGGGGACGUGGGGACAGGAGGAGUCUCCGCCCUGCAAGGGUGCAGUCCCCCCAGAUUCCACAGCCACUGCUAGGCCUGCUGCUGGGCACAGCUGCCCGUUUCUUUCCUGCCACAGUUCAUCUCAUCGGCAAAGCCUGUCUCCUCUUUCACUCAUUGAACAAGCUUUACUUCCACGCCGCGCAACAUGCUAGGAUCUGGGGAUAGCAUCCAGUUUGAUUUGGUUGCUGAUGACAGAACAACCCAAAUAACAGUGGCUUGAUUGACGGUUGCUUUUAAUGUGAUAUUUUUAUGUCCAGGUAGGCAGUAGGACUGGAAAGGUGGCCUCACAAUCAUCAGGACCCCAGGCCCCCUUAGUCUGGUUGCCCCAUCAAUCCCCAAAUAGGCCUUUUGCCUCACGGUACCAGACGGCUGUUGAAGCUCCAGCCAUCAUGUCUGCUUUCAGCCAGCAGGGAGGAAACAUUGGCAUACUCUUCCCAACCUUGCAACCCGUGCUUUUAGGGAUGCUGCCUGGAUUUUGCACACCUCACCUCUGCUUACAGCCCCCCUUGGCCACAGCUGGGUCUCGGGUACUUCGAGCUGCAGAGGAGGCUAGGACAUGUUCCACCCCAGGGGCUGUGUUCUCAGCUAAGAGCUGGACUCUUGCACUGAGUAAAAAGGGAAGGUUGGGGUUACCUGGCAGUCUCUGCAUCAGGACACAGCCCUGUGCACCACCUGGCAGGCAGGCCAAUGUCGACAACCUGCAAAUCACACACGUGUGUGCUGGGAACCUGUGCUGAGGCCCUGCAGGA
rnacentral:lncRNA from 1 species